rnacentral:rRNA from 1 species
AGAGUUUGAUCCUGGCUUAGGAUGAACGCUAGCUACAGGCUUAACACAUGCAAGUCGAGGGGUAGCAGGGUAGCAAUACCGCUGACGACCGGCGCACGGGUGAGUAACACGUAUCCAACCUUCCCAUAACUCAGGGAUAGCCUUUCGAAAGAAAGAUUAAUACCUGAUAGUACUUUUUCAAGGCAUCUUGAGAAAGUUAAAGAUUUAUUGGUUAUGGAUGGGGAUGCGUUCCAUUAGAUAGUUGGUGAGGUAACGGCUCACCAAGUCUUCGAUGGAUAGGGGGUUCUGAGAGGAAGGUCCCCCACAUUGGUACUGAGACACGGACCAAACUCCUACGGGAGGCAGCAGUGAGGAAUAUUGGUCAAUGGGCGAGAGCCUGAACCAGCCAAGUAGCGUGAAGGAAUGAAGGUCCUAUGGAUUGUAAACUUCUUUUAUAGUAGAAUAAAGUGAUCCACGUGUGGAUUUUUGUAUGUAUACUAUGAAUAAGGAUCGGCUAACUCCGUGCCAGCCGCCGC